rnacentral:rRNA from 1 species
UACGGAGGGUGCAAGCGUUAUCCGGAUUCACUGGGUUUAAAGGGUGCGUAGGUGGGCUAGUAAGUCCGUGGUGAAAUCUCCAAGCUUAACUUGGAAACUGCCGUGGAUACUAUUAGUCUUGAAUAUUGUGGAGGUAAGCGGAAUAUGUCAUGUAGCGGUGAAAUGCUUAGAUAUGACAUAGAACACCGAUAGCGAAGGCAGCUUGCUACACAAUCAUUGACACUGAGGCAGGAAAGCGUGGGGAUCAAACAGG